AUAUCUUUUUUAAAUUUUUUAAACCGCUUGCUUGGAAGGCAAGUAUACUUAUUAUACUUAAAAGAC
rnacentral:tRNA from 1 species